rnacentral:sRNA from 1 species
GUUGCUCCGGCGGCGCUCGGGGAGGGAGCCAGCAGCCUGGGGCCCAGGCCCGGGCCACCAUGGCGCUGCCUUCGGGCCCAGCCGCCCUCCGGCACCAGCACCUUCACAGUCACAGCCCAUCGGGCUCAGCAUGAGCUCAACUGCUCCCUGCAGGACCCCAGCAGUGGCCGAUCAGCCAACGCCUCUGUCAUCCUCAAUGUGCAAUUCAAGCCAGAGAUUGCCCAAGUCGGUGCCAAGUACCAGGAAGCUCAGGGCCCAGGCCUCCUGGUUGUCCUGUUUGCCCUGGUGCGUGCCAACCCGCCUGCCAAUGUCACCUGGAUCGACCAGGAUGGGCCAGUGACUGUCAACACCUCUGACUUCCUGGUGCUGGAUGCGCAGAACUACCCCUGGCUCACCAACCAUACGGUGCAGCUGCAGCUCCGCAGCCUGGCACACAAUCUCUCGGUGGUGGCCACCAAUGACGUGGGUGUCACCAGUGCCUCGCUUCCAGCCCCAGGGCUUCUGGCUACCCGGGUGGAAGUGCCACUGCUGGGCAUUGUUGUGGCUGCUGGGCU